rnacentral:rRNA from 1 species
UCGAGAAUAUUUCACAAUGAGCGAAAGCUUGAUGAAGCGACGCCGCGUGGACGAUGAAGGCCUUCGGGUUGUAAAGUCCUGUUGUCAGGGAACAAGGAAGAUACGUGAAUAACGUGUUUUUUUGAGGGUACCUGAAGAGAAAGCACCGGCUAACUCCGUGCCAGCAGCUGCGGUAAUACGGAGGGUGCUAGCGUUAGUCGGAAUUACUGGGCGUAAAGGGUGCGUAGGCGGGAAUACAAGUCGUAUGUGAAAUUCCGGGGCUUAACCUCGGAGCUGCAGACGAAACUGUAUUUCUUGUCGGAUGGCGGAGAAAAUGGAAUUCCACGAGUAGCGGUGAAAUGCGUAGAUACGUGGAAGAACACCUGUGGCGAAAGCGGUUUUCUAGCCUACCCGAGACGCUGAGGCACGAAAGUUAGGGGAGCAAACAGG